GUUUGGAGCACUGCUGGCCAUGGAGUGGAACUUGUGGGCAUAUUGACAUCCAAACGGGUGUUGGACAGAAGUGUUUUCCCUUGGCUUAUCAAGGCAAGAGUCAUGUUUCAGUGCAAUGCAUGAGUGGGCUCCUCGGGCUAAGGGAAGGCAGGGGAGCGGCAGUAAACGAGAAUAAUGUCUCCGUUUCAACAGGCAAGCCGACAUGGAACAGAUGGCGAAGACGCCAGCCACAAGACUAAUGUAUUCAUAUUUCUCUCUUAUUGACUCAUUGUAAUUAAGGCCUAAGUGGAUUAUGAACAUACAAACAAAUAUCUCCCACCUCGGAUUCAUGCCUGGCAUGCUGUGAAGAUGACUGACAUCCUGCAUAUUACGCUAUAGUGGGGGAAACGUUAAUAGGUAAUUCAGAGUGAUAGAAAUCGAAGUGUCAACACAAAGGAAGAUGAGAACAAUAUUGGCCUUUAAAGAUUAGGAGUAACUAGGGGAGAUUAAGAAGCAGAGAGGCCAAAGUAGCCAUUGUGUGCCAGACACAUUGAGGAUAGAGAAUAACUUCCGGGACAUGGGGGAAAGCAGAUGGAAAAAUAGAAGUCUGUUGCUUUUCUCCCCUGAGAUCUUUUCUUCACAUGUGUAAAGCUGCUGUUUAAACAGGCCCUGAGACCUCACGUAAG